UAAAAACCCGUGGGAUUCAAAAACUGUUUUGAGCAGUGGGAUAAAUGUCUCCAUAGGUGUACUGCAUCGGGCCGAGAGCACUUUGAAAGUGACUGAAGUUUAAAUGUGUAAGAAUAAAUACACAAUUUUUUAUAAAUAAAUUCCAGGUUUUUAUGGGCCCCCCUUGUACGAAACCAAAUAAGUGAUCAAGGAUCCUGACAAACUAUUUCUGGGAGUCAAAAUUCCGUCUUCUUUCAAGACAACAGCUCCAAGUGUUCUAAAGAGGCCGCGGCCCUGGGAAGGGGCUUGAG